rnacentral:rRNA from 1 species
CGCGUAGGCGGGCAAUUAAGUUAAGUGUGAAAUUCCGGGGCUCAACCUCGGAGCUGCACUUAAUACUGGUUUGUCUAGAGGGUAGGCGGAGAAAACGGAAUUCCACAAGUAGCGGUGAAAUGCGUAGAGAUGUGGAAGAACACCAGUGGCGAAGGCGGUUUUCUAGCUUACUCCUGACGCUGAGGCGCGAAAGCAAGGGGAGCAAACA